AGAGUUUGAUCCUGGCUCAGGAUGAACGCUAGCUACAGGCUUAACACAUGCAAGUCGAGGGGCAUCGGGUGAGGGCUUCUGCCAUCACGCCGGCGACCGGCGCACGGGUGAGUAACGCGUAUCCAACCUGCCCAUGGCUGGGGGAUAACCUUGCGAAAGCAAGCCUAAUACCCCAUGCUCUCCGCUGGGGGCAUCCCUUGCGGAGGAAAGGAUUUCCGGCCAUGGAUGGGGAUGCGUCCGAUUAGCUUGCCGGUGGGGUGACGGCCCACCGGGGCAUCGAUCGGUAGGGGUUCUGAGAGGAAGGUCCCCCACACUGGAACUGAGACACGGUCCAGACUCCUACGGGAGGCAGCAGUGAGGAAUAUUGGUCAAUGGGCGCGAGCCUGAACCAGCCAAGUAGCGUGCAGGAGGACGGCCCUAUGGGUUGUAAACUGCUUUUGCGCGGGGAUAACGUCCGCCACGUGUGGCGGCUUGCAGGUACCGCGUGAAUAAGGACCGGCUAAUUCCGUGCCAGCAGCCGCGGUAAUACGGAAGGUCCGGGCGUUAUCCGGAUUCAUUGGGUUUAAAGGGAGCGUAGGCCGCGCGUCAAGCGUGCCGUGAAAUGCCGUGGCUCAACCAUGGCACCGCGGCGCGAACUGUCGCGCUUGAGUGGGCUCGAGGCAGGCGGAAUUCGUGGUGUAGCGGUGAAAUGCUUAGAUAUCACGAGGAACCCCGAUUGCGAAGGCAGCCUGCCAGCGCCGCACUGACGCUGAAGCUCGAAGGCGUGGGUAUCGAACAGGAUUAGAUACCCUGGUAGUCCACGCGGUAAACGAUGGACGCUCGCCGUGGGUCCCGUGUGGUUCCGUGGCCAAGCGAAAGCGUUAAGCGUCCCACCUGGGGAGUACGCC
rnacentral:rRNA from 1 species